rnacentral:rRNA from 1 species
UACAGAGGUCCCAAGCGUUUGUUCGGAUUCACUGGGCGUAAAGGGUGCGUAGGCGGUCGGGUAAGUCUGAUGUGAAAUCUCACAGCUUAACUGUGAAACUGCAUUGGAUACUAUUCGGCUAGAGAGUUGGAGGGGGGACUGGAAUUCUUGGUGUAGCAGUGAAAUGCGUAGAUAUCAAGAGGAACACCAGUGGCGAAAGGCGAGUCCCUGGACAAACUUUCUGACGCUGAGGCACGAAAGCUAGGGGGAGCAAAACAGG